rnacentral:ncRNA from 1 species
UGAUAGCGUAGAAGCGUGAGGUUGCUGCAAGCUUCGAGCCUGCAGGUUUUCCGUGGAGCGAAUGUCAAGUUAUGAAACUGGCGACAA